CUCCUGCUCUAUCCAUCGCACCUGCGGCUCCAUCCUCGGUGUGACGGCGUCGCUGUCGAAGCGCACGAACUGCGUGUCAUCCACGUAGCCCACGGAGAUGAAGCGGGGCUCCCCUCGGCCGGGCGCGGACAUGGCGGUGCGGAAAUACAUCAGGGAGUGGGAGCCUGGGGGCGGGAGCCGCUGAGACCCCGCGACCCCCUCCUCCUGGCGCCUGAGCCCCGGGUUGAAGACGCCAGGAGGAGAAGAGAGGCCUCAAGAGACCCUAAGGAGGCUCUUUCUUUCCUGAUCCUGCACUCACCCACUGAGGUCUCCGUCAGGGCCAGGGCCCCUGAGAGCAGCAGGAGCAGUGUUCUGGGUGCCACCACCCGCAUCCUGCAGCUCUGUGGAGAUUCUGGAACUUGGCAGUUUUUUCAGUUCCCCCCAAAUUACAUUUGAAUUGCCACAAAAUGAAUGAAAACAGACUCAUGUCAAGAAACACUGCAAUGAAAUUUCAGAAAAUACGAAGAAGAGACCCUGAAUAUUUCAAGAGGCAGGAUAUAGCUGCAAUAUGGUUGAUGCAGGAAUGAGUGAUCUAAAGAGAGUGAAAGGUGAUGAUGCAGGGGAGGGAGGGAUCAUCUGUGGGAAACCAUCUUCAUGUGACUGAGUUUCCUCCUGGACUGGGUGCUGAGGCAUCCAGUCGCAGAAAUGUGGUACGACUUUCCCCACCCUUCUUGGGUUCGAGAACGUGUCCGUGUAGAGGCAUGUCUCACCACUAUUCAAAGGACCCAAUCACCUCAUCUGACCUUGCAACAAUGUGCCCCAUGUUCCUCAUUGGAUGGGAUUUUCCCCAGAAUUUUUAGUUCCCCAAUAAAAGCCCACUCCAUAGUGUGCUCCUGCUCUCUCACUAGCCUCUUCAGUGAAACCUCACUUCCCCCCUGGGGAGCUUGAGGCUAAGAGCUCCGGGAGCCAGCCUGGAGCUGGUUUAAAGGUAAAA